rnacentral:rRNA from 1 species
GGAUAACCUUGCGAAAGUAAGACUAAUACCCAAUGACGUCUCUAGAAGACAUCUGAAAGAGAUUAAAGAUUUAUCGGUGAUGGAUGGGGAUGCGUCUGAUUAGCUUGUUGGCGGGGUAACGGCCCACCAAGGCGACGAUCAGUAGGGGUUCUGAGAGGAAGUUCCCCCACAUUGGAACUGAGACACGGUCCAAACUCCUACGGGAGGCAGCAGUGAGGAAUAUUGGUCAAUGGGCGAGAGCCUGAACCAGCCAAGUAGCGUGCAGGAUGACGGCCCUAUGGGUUGUAAACUGCUUUUAUAAGGGAAUAAAGUGGGUCACGUGUGACUUUUUGCAUGUACCUUAUGAAUAAGGACCGGCUAAUUCCGUGCCAGCAGCCGCGGUAAUACGGAAGGUCCGGGCGUUAUCCGGAUUUAUUGGGUUUAAAGGGAGCGUAGGCCGGAGAUUAAGCGUGUUGUGAAAUGUAGACGCUCAACGUCUGCACUGCAGCGCGAACUGGUUUCCUUGAGUACGCACAAAGUGGGCGGAAUUCGUGGUGUAGCGGUGAAAUGCUUAGAUAUCACGAAGAACUCCGAUUGCGAAGGCAGCUCACUGGAGCGCAACUGACGCUGAAGCUCGAAAGUGCGGGUAUCGAACAGGAUUAGAUACCCUGGUAGUCCGCACGGUAAACGAUGGAUGCCCGCUGUUGGUCUGAAUAGGUCAGCGGCCACG